UACGUAGGUGACAAGCGUUGUCCGGAUUUACUGGGCGUAAAGAGCGCGCAGGCGGUCGUUCAAGUCGAGUGUGAAAGCCCCCGGCUCAACUGGGGAGGGUCAUUCGAUACUGAUCGACUCGAAGGCAGGAGAGGGUAGUGGGAUUCCCGGUGUAGUGGUGAAAUGCGUAGAUAUCGGGAGGAACACCAGUGGCGAAGGCGACUACCUGGCCUGUUCUUGACGCUGAGGCGCGAAAGCUAGGGGAGCAAACGGG
rnacentral:rRNA from 1 species